ACAAGGUCUCCGUUGGUGAACCAGCGGAGGGAUCAUUAUAGAGUUUUCUAAACUCCCAACCCAUGUGAACUUACCAUUGUUGCCUCGGCAGAAGCUGCUCGGUGCACCUUACCUUGGAACGGCCUACCCUGUAGCGCCUUACCCUGGAACGGCUUACCCUGCAACGGCUGCCGGUGGACUACCAAACUCUUGUUAUUUUAUGGUUAUCUGAGCGUCUUAUUUUAAUAAGUCAAAACUUUCAACAACGGAUCUCUUGGUUCUGGCAUCGAUGAAGAACGCAGCGAAAUGCGAUAAGUAAUGUGAAUUGCAGAAUUCAGUGAAUCAUCGAAUCUUUGAACGCACAUUGCGCCCAUUAGUAUUCUAGUGGGCAUGCCUGUUCGAGCGUCAUUUCAACCCUUAAGCCUAGCUUAGUGUUGGGAGCCUACUGCUUUUGCUAGCUGUAGCUCCUGAAAUACAACGGCGGAUCUGCGAUAUCCUCUGAGCGUAGUAAUUUUUAUCUCGCUUUUGACUGGAGUUGCAGCGUCUUUAGCCGCUAAACCCCCCAAUUUUUAAUGGUUGACCUCGGAUCAGGUAGGAAUACCCGCUGAACUUA
rnacentral:rRNA from 1 species